GCAUGUGGUAUAUAGGAUGUUUGCUAACAUACAGUACUAAGCAAACAUAAGGAUAAUGCUUCUGAUCUGUCAUCUUUCACGCCAUAUAAUAAUGCUCAUUACGCGUUCAUUUCGAUUCAGUAAAGGUCGGUAUGCUGACCAAUACUGACCGUCUCGGGCGGUAACUUCAAUCCAUGGGUGAUCAAUGACAUGAAUUAUUACAACAUUGGAAAAACAGGAGGCACAAAAACACGAUAUCAAGUACAUUCCGUCCCUUUAUGAUUGGCCAUUAAGAACCAAAACGGAGUAAAUCGAAUUCUGAUGAAGUUCAUUGCGCUUGUGCCAAUUGCCAUCAAUCACACUGUCACUGCGGAGGCUGGGACUGGGAGGUGACAAUCCAGUGUGAAAAAUAAGGGAAGUACUUCAAGAUUUCCUGAAAUAAUUUUUUCAAGAGUGUUUAAUUCUUUUAAAAUUAUCUCAGAUUUCAUCACCACUCCUACAUCAAGUCACAAGUACAGUAUAUCCUGUCAUUAGAGGGUGCAAUGGAAAGAUUCUUGUCUGCGGUAUGAAGACUUGCAGGAAUAAGUGGGAAAAAAGUAGCAGAAGAAGAGGAACAACCUUUGCUUACGAACAAUAUCCAAACAACCUGGUCACCAACAAAAUUUACAUUUAUACGUAUUUGUUUAUACCAUAAGUUCAUACCACGAUAGGUCAGUCCACGGGUCAGUUUGUUUUCAAGCAGUUGAUUGCAGAAUAAUAUACAAAAUCUGGCCAUCUAUUUAUAUCAAACCCCUCUUGUGAUUAACAAUGAUAGAUUUUUCAUUUUGACCAUGUGGUGUGAGGCCCGAAAUUGCAAGGUAGUGCCGUAGUGGCCUUUAAAUUGAAAAUUGCGCUCUAAAAUUAAAACUCCUAAGAGUUUCAAAAGUUAAGCUUCCAGGAUAAGCUUUUAUGUCUUUGUCUUUACAUUUAAGGUAACGCCAUGAUGAACAGAGUAGAGGGGAAGAUACCUCGCUAGGGUCCAUCAAAUUUUGUUUUUCUUGAAUGAGACUAUUGUAUAUUGUAAGAGGUUUGCCUUUGUAAAGUACAAAAAUAGACAAACAGGGAUGCAAACUACUAGUCUUAUCUAUUAGGAUCUAUGUGGAAAGAUGCAAAACAUCCUUCUUAAACACAUGCAUGAAAAAGGUUGUGGAAGAAAGCCAUAACAUGAGAAUAAGACCUCAUGUCUUGCCAAGAGCCUCAUUUUUGAGUUAUGCCUGGUACAAUUAUAGAAUACCCUGCUAAUAGUGCAUUUAUAUGUUAAAGAUCUGUUUAAGGAACAAUUUUAGAGUAUUGAAUUGCCCCGUUCUUUAAAAAUAGUGUUUAUUCUUGUUCUCUGGAGGUCCAAUGCAAUAAGAAACAUAAAACAAAGUACAUUUAUCUAUAAGACUAUAUGGCAUUCACUGUUAAGAGUUGGCAGGGUAUUCUAUAAUUGCUCCCCCAAAUACAUAGGAGUGCGUGAAAUUCUGACAAUUUUAUAGAAAAAUAAUCACUAUUUACGCUCUAUUAUACUAAAAUGUAUAAUAUACUUUGAUAAGAUCGCUCUGAGAAUUUCAACGACAUCCAUUAUAGAAUAGGAACGAUAACUCAUUUAAUAAAGUUCGCCAAUAUUUUUAUUGUAGUUCCGCCAUAUUUCUUGUGUAAAACUUCAAAGGUUCUGACGUCAGAUUUAGGGGAUCGUUGAACAUCGGGUAACCGGGCUCAUGUA
rnacentral:lncRNA from 1 species